rnacentral:rRNA from 1 species
GAUGAACGCUGGCGGCGUGCUUAACACAUGCGAGUCGAACGGAAAGGCCCCUGCUUGCAGGGGUACUCGAGUGGUGAACGGGUGAGUAACACGUGGGUGAUCUGCCCUGCACUUCGGGAUAAGCCUGGGAAACUGGGUCUAAUACCGGAUAGGACGAUGGUUUGGAUGCCAUUGUGGAAAGUUUUUCGGUGUGGGAUGAGCUCGCGGCUUAUCAGCUUGUUGGUGGGGUAGUGGCGUACCAAGGCGUCGACGGGUAGCCGGCCUGAGAGGGUGUACGGCCACAUUGGGACUGAGAUACGGCCCAGACUCCUACGGGAGGCAGCAGUGGGGAAUAUUGCACAAUGGGCGGAAGCCUGAUGCAGCGACGCCGCGUGGGGGAUGACGGCCUUCGGGUUGUAAACUCCUUUCGCUAGGGACGAAGCGCAAGUGACGGUACCUGGAGAAGAAGCACCGGCUAACUACGUG